UGCAGCAUGCCCUGUCCUGCGUGGGAAGAUGUUGCUUCCGUCUGCUACUGAGCUCCAGAGAGCCUUCCUUAUACUGCUUGGGACUGACUCGAGGCAGCAGGCACCAAGCAUUGGGACCUCUUGGCAGGCUUUUCUUAACAGUACAGAUCUUUUUCCCUUACAAGUCUGGCACCUGAAUUACCAGCAAGCAAUCUCCAGCUGUUCCCCAGGGGACUGCUCUUUGUGCACUGCUGUGCAUGCAGCACACUGGAGCAGGGCCAAGCAUCCAUCCAGCUCCUCAGCUUCUCCUCAUGCUUUGAGCACUUCAGCCAUACAGGGGGCUGGUGCCUGCCUGACACAAUUAGCUAUAGGGGAUGAGCUUCUGAACGUGCACAAAAACCCCAGUUGCUUCCCCCAGCCAUAUGUCAAAGAUGAUAACCACAGCAGGGCAGCUCUGAAUCAACAGAUGCUUUGUUUCUCCGGGCUUUGGGAACCCUGUCUGCAGAGUGGAACUGCUGGAAGGCAGAGGGGAAUCGAGCCGCUAUCAAAGUCCUUUGAAAGAUUAAAGGAAGAAAGCACCAUAAUUGACGGAGAUCAGCCACAGGAAAUCUACCAAAAUUAUUCCAAAUUACCUCUGGGAGCAGCUUGGCAACUGCCUGAGGAAGCAGAACACAUUCAGCCAGAACUGCCCAGACCAGACUGCAGCUCCCUUCACGUCCGUAGGUUUGCAGAGCUCCAGGACAGGCACCACGUUCUGCUGACCUCUGGGCGGCUUCACCUCGCACUGCAGCUCGCAGAAGUUCGCACGCUGAAGAUGUGUGUGGUAGGAUCGCCCUCUAAAGGGAAGAGCUGAGAAAACCUGAUCAAGUGACACAAAGUUAAGAGCACGGGCGUGGGUGAAGCAAUGACCACUUCUCACCCAGAGCCUUAGUUCUGCCUCCAAAAUACGCUUGUAAACAUGAUUUAUGCACUGCAAUCGUGAAUAAAUACAGCCAGACUACUGCACCCUUAGCUCAUGCCAUUCUCCUGAGCCAUUAACUCGUUGAGUCUGCCCCUGGCUGAGCAUCCAUCUAUAAGCUUCAGUAGACAGCUACUUUGUGGCUUGAGCAUCAUCCCUGCUACAAUUAAGAUUGUUCUCUCCUUCUAUAAUCUGAACUCUGCACGAAGCAGGAUUUCAGCUGCUUUAUUUUAAAACUUGAUGUCCCUCAGGGAUCUAAAGGGCUAAUUCUAGUUGCUGGGUUUUAUGUAUUUGCUUCUCAGGAAAGCUAAAAGCAGGCAGGCAGACUGCCAGCCACAUCUUCGCAGAGGAAAGGCAGUUGCAAUGAAGGCUGUGUUAAUUACUGCCUUCCUGUAUCUCACUCUUCCUUCCAGAAGGCUCUUAAAGGGCAGGAAGGCACCAAAGCUCUUGUGCAAUGAGCCAGGGCACAGGGCUCAUUGGCUGCUCCCUCUGUGCUCCUUGCCUGGGCAGCUCGUGAGGUUCUCUGCAGUUACUGGAAGGCACAGAGGGCUGGGGAAGGCUUCCUAGGCAGAUGCUUAAUAGGGGAGCAGCUUAUUUCUAAUAGCACACUGCUGUCUCUUUGCAGCCUUCUUGUUUCACCGUAAUAAGGUGAUUCUUGCAGCCUUCUGACAUUUUAAGAGAGACUUUGAGGAAGCAAUACGAGCCAUUCUGGAAAGCAAAGAACUCACCAGCCAGGUUAAAUCCAUGCUCUGGAAAGAAUCAAAUUCUAAA
ensembl:lncRNA